rnacentral:rRNA from 1 species
UACGUAGGGGGCAAGCGUUGUCCGGAAUCAUUGGGCGUAAAGCGCGUGUAGGCGGUUCGGUAAGUCUGCUGUGAAAGUCCAGGGCUCAACCCUGGGAUGCCGGUGGAUACUGUCGGACUAGAGUACGGAAGAGGCGAGUGGAAUUCCCCGGUGUAGCGGUGAAAUGCGCAGAUAUCGGGAGGAACACCAAUUGCGAAGGCAGCUCGCUGGGACGUCACUGACGCUGAGACGCGAAAGCGUGGGGAGCAACAGGG